AGAAUCGGAGCUAACGCGGUG
rnacentral:misc_RNA from 1 species